UAUAUAUAUGUAUCAUAUGUAUAUGUAUAUGAUCUAUAUGACUGUAUUUAUGUAUACACAUACACUCAUAAAUAACAGUGAGCAACAAAUAACAAUGUCGACGAUGGAAGGUUCACUUAGUAAAUGGACAAAUGUUGUUAAUGGUUGGCAAUAUCGUUGGUUUGUUUUAGACGAUAAUGCUGGUCUUUUAUCAUAUUACACGAGUAAAGAAAAAAUGAUGAGAGGAGCACGUAGAGGAUGUGUACGUUUAAGAGGGGCUAUUAUAGGUAUCGAUGAUGAAGACGAUAGCACAUUUACAAUUACUACAUCAUCAUAUAAAGAUGAUCCAAAAACAUUUCAUUUUCAAACAAGAAAUGCAGAGGAACGAGAACGGUGGAUUCGUGCUUUAGAAGACACUAUAUUACGUCAUUCACAUACUAGAUGGGAUCCUAAAAAAUCUCCUCCAAGGCAAGACUUUGAUCGUAAAGUGGCUGAAGCAGAUGCUUAUCUUCAAUUAUUGAUUGAUCAAAUAAAAUUAAUUGAAACAAAACAAAGUUCUGUUGCUGUAGAAGAUGAAGAAAAACAACAAAAAUAUGCAGCUAUUUUAACUCAAGCCAAUGCAAUGCUUAAUUCCGUUAAACAUACAAUUGUUCAGUUACAAAUUGCAAAGAAUACAGCAAUACCAGUAAAUGGAAUAUAUAGUGGACCCACUGAUUCAACACACGUUCCAUCAUCUUUACCUCAUGUUGCUGCUAGAGAACCAGAAGCAACUGUACAGACUGGUAUUGAAUUAGGUUUUGAAUGUGUAGAACUAAGAGUACCUGCAUUGCCAAAUGCGGUUGUGGAUAGAGAUCUCCCUGUACCCCAAUUUUCUUAUUCAUCUUCGGAUGAAGACGAAGAUUAUUAUGACGCAGCAGACGAAAUAUCACCUCCCUCUGCAAUGCAAAAUCAUAUCAGUAUUAGAAGGCAAGAUAGCGAACGUUCACAAUCACAUGUAGAUGUAUUGAACGAAAAUCGGAAGCAACCUCCGUUGCCACCUACAAAAGGUGAUGGGUCUGUUGAUUAUGAUGCCCUUUAUGAGGAGGAAAGUGAAACAGAAAUGGAUUCCAUGGAAUCUCAUGGAUCCGUAGUGACUCACCUUCUAUCUCAAGUAAAAAUUGGUAUGGAUUUAACAAAAGUAGCAUUACCUACAUUUAUUUUGGAGCGCAGGUCGCUUCUUGAAAUGUAUGCAGACUAUUUUACUCAUCCAGAUCAGUUUGUAAGCAUAGCAGAUAUGCCUACUGCUAAAGAUAGAAUGAUUCAAGUAGUUCGUUGGUAUUUAUGCAGUUUUCACGCAGGUCGUAAAUCAGGGGUAGCUAAGAAACCAUAUAAUCCAAUAUUAGGUGAAAUUUUUAGGUGUCAUUGGGAUAUUCCUAAUGAUACUGUAGAUAGUUCUACUGAUACAAAACUAGUUGUUGGAGGUCCUGUACCUUGGUGCAAAGAGAAUCAGCUUUCAUUUAUUGCUGAACAAGUUUCUCAUCACCCUCCUAUAAGUGCAUUUUAUGCUGAACAUUAUGCAAAAAAGAUCAGUUUUGGAGCACAUGUAUGGACAAAAAGUAAAUUUCUUGGACUGAGUAUAGGAGUACAUAAUGUUGGGAAGGGUUGGGUAAAUGUAUUACAACAUGGAGAGGAAUACGUAUUGACUUUCCCAAAUGGUUAUGGUAGAUCUAUUCUCACCAUACCAUGGAUAGAAUUAGGAGGGACUGCAACUAUCCAUUGCGCACAAACUGGUUAUCACGCUACUGUAGAAUUUUUAACAAAACCUUUUUAUGGUGGCAAACGUAAUCGAAUUACAUGUCAAAUUACACAACCGGGAGAUAAAAAACCAUUUGUUGUUAUAAACGGAGAAUGGAGUGGUGCUAUGGAAGCCAAAUGGGCUGAUGGAAGAAGUGAAAUAUUUGCGGAUGUAAAAGAACUUCAUACUCAAAGAAAAUUAAUAAAGCCAGUAUGUGAACAAGAAGAACAUGAAUCGCGAAAAGUUUGGCGGGAUGUAACUGUUGGAUUAAGAAUUAAUGACAUGGAAAAAGCAACAGCUGCUAAAUGUACAAUUGAACAAAAACAACGAGAGGAAGCGCGUACUAGGAAAGAAAAUAAUAUCAAUUGGCAAACUAAGUUGUUCAAAGAAACUAAAGACGGUGGUUGGAUAUACAUAAAACCCCUUGCUGAGAGAUUACAUUCUAGUUUCAAUCAAAGUACUACAACAUAAACUCGCAAUAUGAUAUGUUGCAGUUUUAGACAUUGCACAGUACUAGAAAUUUAAGGCCUAACACAUAUGAUUAAUUAUAUAUUUACCUUCUUAAAUUUAUUGACUCUGAGUUAUACAGAAGAACAAAACUGAAAGAUAAUGUCUAAAAUGAUUUAGUUAAUAUAUUUAAAAAAUGGACAACUGUACUUGUAACUGUAAAAAUAAUAUAUAUGAUGUACAUUACAUUUAUGUACAUAAUUGGUUGUUCUUAACUUCCAUGAAAUGGAAACAAGUAGCAUUUUAAUAAUGUAAAUAUUUAUAAAUAUUGUUCGUAGUUCUUUACGCAUAAGAUUUUACAUAUAUUUUAAUUGCUUUUUAAUUAACCACAAAGUAUUAAAAUAUUUUAG